AUUGAACGCUAGCGGCAGGCCUAACACAUGCAAGUCGAACGAAUCGCGGAUGGGUGAGAAAUGUAUGUGAACCUGACUGAUGGAGGGGGAUACCUACUGGAAACUAUAGCUAAUACCGCAUACCAUCGGAUGUGCCCAGAUGGGAUUAGCGAGUAGGUGGGGUAAAGGCUCACCUAGGCGACGAUCCCUAGCUGGUUUGAGAGGAUGACCAGCCACACUGGAACUGAGACACGGCCCAGACUCCUACGGGAGGCAGCAGUGGGGAAUAUUGGACAAUGGGCGAAAGCCUGAUGCAGCCAUCCCGCGUGUGUGAAGAAGGCCUUCGGGUUGUAAAGUACUUUCAGCGGGGAGGCGUUACCCGCAGAAUAAGCACCGGCUAACUCCGUGCCAGCAGCCGCGGUAAUUC
rnacentral:rRNA from 1 species